UUUUCUUUCUCUUUCCGCGUUCUCAGCUCUUUCUCUUUCCUCUAUCUCGCGUUCUCUCUUUCCUCUCUCCACCGUGCCGUCGUCCAUUCCUCCCGCUUCCCUCUAUUCAUGUCCUAGCAACGGCGGCAGUGGCGCUAGGAGCUGAUACAAACCCACCUCUCGUCGUUUCCCCCUCGCGAAAUGAUUUUCCCUGAAGUGGAGCGAACCUGGGUACGGGAUUUAACUCGGGUAUUGAGGCCAUGUGAAGGUUGGGUAUGGUAAUGAGUUUGAUGACGAUGAGGUGUUGAGCUUUUGUCUGACUCAUACCCCUACAAGGAACUCUUCAAUGGAUGCCUUUGGGACGUAGAUGGAAAGUGGACUGUUAAAGGUGGUGUUGAUGUCAACAUUAGUGCCAACCCUUAUGCUGAAAAAUGGGUAAACGUCUCAAGGAAUAAAUAGUAAUGUCUAAGGGGGUUGUAUGAAGAUAUGUUGAAUUCACUCAGAUGUUACCAAGCUAAGGAUUCUGUUCUGAAUUUUAAAUCUGCUGUUAAUGUUCCUCUGUUGUCUCUGAAUGAGGCUUUGUUUUGUUUGAAAUCCUAAAUCUGAUGCAAGGUCUAAGGGGGUUGUUUUGUUUGAAAUAAUGAUGAUGAUUUUGCUACUUGGAUUUGAAAAAGAUCUCGAAAAGAUGCAAUGUUUUAUUGUUUUGGUUGUAAUGAUGAUUUUGCAGCUCGAAUUAGAUAAUAUAUCAAUAGUUGUUGUCGUUAGCUACUUUUUUUCGGGAGCUAUAUAUAGAGUGAGAGGGUGGGAGGUGGAGGUUUGGCUUCUACUUGAAUUUUUUUCAAACUGAUGAAUAUUGCACUUGUACAUUAGCAGUAUAUGGAAUGAAGUGCUCAAAUGUGUUAUGAGUCUCUUUCAACAUUCUGUCAAUUUGGGCCCUGUGAUGUCUCUUGAAUCUUUAUUGCUCAUAAUGUGCAGUGGACAUGUUUAGUUCUGCUUUGAAAAAUUGAGUCUGCAUGUCUAGCACCAGGUCUCCUUGUUUAUUGGCUAUUUAAAGAUGUGUAGUGGCUGUCCCUUCCAGCCUUCCUGCUUUUUACAUAAGAAAUCAUGAAAUUUCUUUUGCCUUUUGUUUAGUUGUUUGUGCAUGGAUGGAGUUGCUAGUUACUUUCAAUAUCUAAUCUCUUUGAAAGUGCACACCUGUCUUCUGCCCUUUUAAUGCAUAAAUCCUAAUGAUCUGAUGUACAGAAUUUAUCUUAUGCAUUAUGCAUAUUUUAUUUUUAAUUAUUUUACCCUCAGCUUGUAGAUCCUAAUGUUUUUAAUUACUUUUACAAAAUGCAUAUCCUUGACCUCUUUGAAUUUUGAUUAAUAAUUUACUUAUCUUAUGUUGAAGUUCCUGAGAUUUGGUCACAUUUCCUUUUCUUUGUAUAUAUCUUAGACAUGGCUAAAUUAGACCUUUCUAGACUACCUUUGAGAUGAUUUCAAUCAUAUUUUAGAACAAAGUUAAUGAUAGGUAAAUUUAGAGAAGUUAAGUCCAUUGAAAUAGAUUUUUAAAAUCAAAAGUUAACAUAUAUGUAGAUGUAUGCUUAGAGUAUACAAAUAGAUCUUCCAGUUUCUUUUUUUUUUUUUUUUUUUUUUUUUUUGAAUAAUGAUUUUCCAGUUUCUAAUUUCAUGUUUUUGAUAAUUUCUUAGGCUUUUUGUUUGUUGCUCUGAUACUCCGUAUCUUGCUUAGGGAAGUAUCAAUUAUUGACAAGUAUACUUUUCACACAGGUCAGAAAAAGACUUGGAUUUUAUGCUUGCUUCAUUUAGCGAUCACCAAAUUUAAUAUCACUUCUGAAGGUACCUUAGUGGCUGUAUAUGUGUCAUAUUAGUGGUUUUGUAUGGAUUUAUUUCGUGAAAUUAAUCAGUUUGAACCUUUAUAAUUAUUGAUUGUUGCCUCUUUGAUUGUUUAAGUUGUUAUUAUUAUGAUAUUUGGAUGAAAAAUCUCGAUAUUUGAUGUUGUUUUGUCAAUUUGUUGAUAUAAUUUAUGUGGGAAAAUUUGUCCAGAGCUUAUUAUUAAAUUUUGUAUCUUUGAUUGUUUUAGUUGCUAUUAAUUGAUAUUUAGAUGAAUUAGGAGUCGAUUUUAGGAGACGAUAAAGUUGGAGUGUUAGGUAAUGAAAUGCUUAAUAUGGAAAGUAUUUUCUUGUUAUUUUUCUCCAUAAUUCACGAUUUGAUGAAUUCUCAUUUAUAUUCUAUGUUUUAGAAAUAUGGGAUUCUAAAACUUUUUGUUUUGAGUUUGCAAGCAUAGCUGCUGUUUGGGACUGAAAUUAUGCUGUUGAUCGACUUGGUCCCCUGCAACCGACUUGAGUUCAUUCGGGUUGUGGUGUUUUUUUGUGUGUUUGGUCUUGAGGAUAUAGAUAUUUUCUUCUCUUCCCAUUCAUGUACUCCUGCCAUUCAGUGUGUCAGGUUUAUAGUUCUGUAUAUUUAGGUGUUUGCGAUUGCUUGUUUGAUCAGUGGUUUUGGUGCGCGGUGCUUCAUGAUUGUAGCUUUUCAAUCAUUCUACAAAAAAGUAGAUUUCAUUAGCAUGUGUCGUUGUAGCAUGUUAUUAAAUUUGUAUCUUUGAUUGUUAUAGUUGCUAUUAAAUUUGUAUCUUUGAUUUUUGUAGGUUCUAUUAAUUGAAAUUUCACAAUUAAUCCUGCUUUUUUUUCGUAUUCUAUAUCUUGAUGCAAGUUUUUGGUGUUUUGAUUAUAAAAUUUGUGGAUGAAAGGAUUUGGGUGUUACAUAUUCUGUCGAAUUUAGCUGGUUUUGUUUUAUUUUAGGCUUAAAGAUUGUUGCUUUUUAAUAUGAUCUGGAUCAUGUUUAUUUUGCCUUACUUCGAGUAUUUGAUUGGUUAUAUAUGGUUGAAUUUGCUUUUUAUUGGAAAUAUUCUGUGGUGCUAAUUGUAAGGGGUCAAAAUCAAAUUAGUUUUCUGAUAAUUUUGACAUUUGAUGAUGAUAUUUUUGUAUUCUGCUGUUGUGAUUGAUUCUUUGUUAUUAUGCAUUAUUAUUGAUGCUGCUGCGAUAUGCCUAUGUGGUGUGAUUGUGAGAUUUGAUUAUUUCUAAAUACAAUGCUGAUGUGAUGUGCCUAUGUGGUGCCGAUGUGUCUUAUGUUUCUUAAUUUUGAGUUUUGGUGAAAGAAGGGAUCCUUAAGUAUGAUAUGCAUUUCUCUUGGUGCACUUGUGUUAAUUGCUAAUUUAAGCUACUUGCUUUUACUGCCCUUGCUGCCUGGUUUUGAUAUUAUGAUAUAUAUAUAUAUAUAUAUACAUUUAAUUAUGUGCUACAAAUACUUGGCACUUUAAAAGAGAUAAAGCACUCCCUCAUGAGCAUGUUUGAAUUUGAGGUGCCAGCUUUUUAUUCCCUUUCCUUUUUUUUUUUUGGUUUUUGUGUUGACUAGACAGUCAUUUAAGUUCAUAAUAAUGGAGUUUCCCAAUCUAGGACAAGAAAAGGAGGGUGGGGUGAACCAUAUGAAUGUAGAGAGUAAAAUUUCAGUUUGUGUGUGUAAAUUCUACUUAGCUGUGUUUAUUGCAAUAUGCAUGCAUUCUGUAUCAUGCUACCUUUAUUGUGAGUGUGGUGUAGUAAGGACUGUAUACGAAGUAUAUAUUAAGAUCUGUUGCUUGAACAAGCUUGCAGGUCCACAAAGAGGGACAAUUGCAUUUAUCGCUUGAUUGGAGUGGUGGAGCAUUCUAGAUCAAUGUCAGAGGAGGUGACAAAAGAGAAAAUAUACGAAGACUAUUGGAAGAUUUUAUCUAUACGCAAGGUUGCUGCUGCCUCGUAAGGCUGCUGCAGCUGCUGCCUCGCCAAGGCUGUUUCAUUGGUGUGACUUUGCUUGUAUUUAACAGUGACUAGUAUUUUUUUUAAGUUUUUUGGACCAAAAUUGUAAUAUUAUAGCCUUUUUUAAUGAAAAUAUGUAAGUAUAUAUAUAUGUUA